rnacentral:rRNA from 1 species
AUUGAACGCUGGCGGCAGGACUAACACAUGCAAGUCGAACGAGUGGCGGACGGGUGAGUAAUGUCUGGGAAACUGCCUGAUGGAGGGGGAUAACUACUGGAAACGGUAGCUAAUACCGCAUACCAUCGGAUGUGCCCAGAUGGGAUUAGCUAGUCGGUGGGGUAAAGGCUCACCUAGGCGACGAUCCCUAGGUGGUCUGAGAGGAUGACCAGCCACACUGGAACUGAGCCACGUUCCAGACUCCUACGGGAGGCAGCAGGGGGGAAUAUUGCACAAUGGGGGCAAGCCUUCUGCAGCCAUGCCGCGUGUAUUAAGAAGGCCUUCGGGUUGUAUAGUACUUUCAGCAGGGAGACGUUACCCGCAGAAGAAGCACCGGCUAACUCCGUGCCAGCCGCCGCGGUAAUAC